rnacentral:rRNA from 1 species
AACGAACGCUGGCGGCGUGCUUAACACAUGCAAGUCGAACGUGAUUGGGAGCUUGCUCCCAUGAAAGUGGCGCACGGGUGAGUAACACGUGGAUAAUCUACCUGGUGUUUCGGGAUAACACUUCGAAAGGGGUGCUAAUACCGGAUAAGCCCACGGGCUCUACGGAGCUUGCGGGAAAAGGCGGGGACCUUCGGGCCUGCAGUCAUCAGAUGAGUCCGCGGCCCAUUAGCUAGUUGGUGGGGUAACGGCCCACCAAGGCGACGAUGGGUAGCUGGUCUGAGAGGAUGAUCAGCCACGCUGGAACUGAGACACGGUCCAGACUCCUACGGGAGGAAGCAGUGGGGAAUUUUGCGCAAUGGGCGAAAGCCUGACGCAGCAACGCCGCGUGAGUGAUGAAGGCUUUCGGGUCGUAAAGCUCUGUCAGAGGGGAAGAACCGCCUUGUGGCUAAUAUCCACGAGGUCUGACGGUACCCUCAAAGGAAGCACCGGCUAACUCCGUGCCAGCCGCCGCCGUAACAC